rnacentral:rRNA from 1 species
UACAGAGGUGGCAAGCGUUGUUCGGAAUUACUGGGCGUAAAGGGCGCGUAGGCGGUCUUGUAAGUCUUGUGUGAAAUCCCUCGGCUUAACUGAGGAACUGCACGGGAUACUGCGAGACUUGAGAUCGGGAGAGGGAAGCGGAAUUCCGGGUGUAGCGGUGAAAUGCGUAGAUAUCGGGAGGAACACCAGUGGCGAAGGCGACUUCCUGGCCUGUUCUUGACGCUGAGGCGCGAAAGCUAGGGGAGCAAACGGG